UACAGUUGAAUUUAAAAUGUAACUGUGAGCCGGCUACAGACAAUGCCAGAUGACGGUCCUUUCAGAGGCCAUGACAGUUGAGUUUAGCCGAAAAAA